ACUACAUGUGAGUUCGGUGCCCCGCAGAGGGCAUUCUUGGGAUUUUGCAUAUCCUCACGCCACGUGGCUUCUACCAAUUUGUUGCUUCGUCCCCAACCAGUGAGACAGCUAGGGUUUCUCUCCCGUCUCACUUCUCUGUCUCUCUCACUCGUGUCUUUCUUUCAAUCUGCUCUCCACUGCCUGUUCUCCCCACCGACCCCGGCCAGCUCCGACUACCUGCGCCGCCGCCCUCUACUGGUACAAGGACACAUCUGCCCCCUUCGCCGAUACAUCGUGCCCUUCAGCCGUUAGGGUCUCACGCAAUCAUCCGGCCACCUACCUUAAGGAGGAGGUGGAGGACGAUCAACGACUCAUUAUGCCGCCAUCCCGUGUCCUCGCCGGCAAAUCAGGAGACGUGGUCUUGAAGAGGCGCUCCUGGAGCGAGGUAAUAUCCUUUCUUAUCCCCUCCCCAACUCAGGCCCCAACCUGCUACCCCUCACCUCUCUACUUUGAAGUGAUGGCGUUGCUCCAGUCGGGACAUGAGGACAUGUACACCGUUGUUGAGAGGCCACUCCAGCUCGCAUAGACCGCCACCGUCCUGGAGAUCCUCUACUGUCUUGUCGGGAUGGUGAGGUCGCCAAUGUUGGCCACGCUGCCACAGCUCAGGUCGCGGCUCUUCGUUACCCGGGGUAUCCCCUCGAACUUUCCCGAGACCAGGACACACAUUCUAGAGAGCUCCUUGGUCAUCGGCUGGUCCAUCACGAGUUGUGGUGCAAGGCUGCAGGCUACAUUUGUGACUGAGAGGGCAAGACUGGGGAGGCUGAGGAGGAGGAGACCAGAGAGCCAUGACGUCGAGGUGGAAGGAGCCAUGAUCGCUGCUAUCGACAACAUGGUCACUUUGUCUGAUUGGUUAGCCUGUCACUCUCGCUUCUCUUGCAGUCGUGCAUCCCCAGGGCAUGGGCGCCGAUAUGAAUGACAAGGUUUCAUAUGGAUGAGGGCGGUGAUUUCGAACUGUCAUAGUCGGUGUUGGAGGUGCUAGGGUUCGGCGUUGCUUGCACUUAGAAUUCUUUUUCAUACAUUGGACUAAGAUCAAAUGCCAAACAUACAUGACCAUAGUUGGGUAGUUUCGACGUCUUCAGACAUGAUGUGUCUAUACAAGCGAAUUGGACAUUUCCUCGUGUGAAAUCAAGCAACUUUAUCUUUUCGUUCAUUCAACGAACCCUGCCAUCAAUUAUUAUAUG